AAAUUGAAGAGUUUGAUCAUGGCUCAGAUUGAACGCUGGCGGCAGGCCUAACACAUGCAAGUCGAACGGUAACAGGAAGAAGCUUGCUUCUUUGCUGACGAGUGGCGGACGGGUGAGUAAUGUCUGGGAAACUGCCUGAUGGAGGGGGAUAACUACUGGAAACGGUAGCUAAUACCGCAUAACGUCGCAAGACCAAAGAGGGGGACCUUCGAGCCUCUUGCCAUCGGAUGUGCCCAGAUGGGAUUAGCUAGUAGGUGGGGUAACGGCUCACCUAGGCGACGAUCCCUAGCUGGUCUGAGAGGAUGACCAGCCACACUGGAACUGAGACACGGUCCAGACUCCUACGGGAGGCAGCAGUGGGGAAUAUUGCACAAUGGGCGCAAGCCUGAUGCAGCCAUGCCGCGUGUAUGAAGAAGGCCUUCGGGUUGUAAAGUACUUUCAGCGGGGAGGAAGGGAGUAAAGUUAAUACCUUUGCUCAUUGACGUUACCCGCAGAAGAAGCACCGGCUAACUCCGUGCCAGCAGCCGCGGUAAUACGGAGGGUGCAAGCGUUAAUCGGAAUUACUGGGCGUAAAGCGCACGCAGGCGGUUUGUUAAGUCAGAUGUGAAAUCCCCGGGCUCAACCUGGGAACUGCAUCUGAUACUGGCAAGCUUGAGUCUCGUAGAGGGGGGUAGAAUUCCAGGUGUAGCGGUGAAAUGCGUAGAGAUCUGGAGGAAUACCGGUGGCGAAGGCGGCCCCCUGGACGAAGACUGACGCUCAGGUGCGAAAGCGUGGGGAGCAAACAGGAUUAGAUACCCUGGUAGUCCACGCCGUAAACGAUGUCGACUUGGAGGUUGUGCCCUUGAGGCGUGGCUUCCGGAGCUAACGCGUUAAGUCGACCGCCUGGGGAGUACGGCCGCAAGGUUAAAACUCAAAUGAAUUGACGGGGGCCCGCACAAGCGGUGGAGCAUGUGGUUUAAUUCGAUGCAACGCGAAGAACCUUACCUGGUCUUGACAUCCACGGAAGUUUUCAGAGAUGAGAAUGUGCCUUCGGGAACCGUGAGACAGGUGCUGCAUGGCUGUCGUCAGCUCGUGUUGUGAAAUGUUGGGUUAAGUCCCGCAACGAGCGCAACCCUUAUCCUUUGUUGCCAGCGGUCCGGCCGGGAACUCAAAGGAGACUGCCAGUGAUAAACUGGAGGAAGGUGGGGAUGACGUCAAGUCAUCAUGGCCCUUACGACCAGGGCUACACACGUGCUACAAUGGCGCAUACAAAGAGAAGCGACCUCGCGAGAGCAAGCGGACCUCAUAAAGUGCGUCGUAGUCCGGAUUGGAGUCUGCAACUCGACUCCAUGAAGUCGGAAUCGCUAGUAAUCGUGGAUCAGAAUGCCACGGUGAAUACGUUCCCGGGCCUUGUACACACCGCCCGUCACACCAUGGGAGUGGGUUGCAAAAGAAGUAGGUAGCUUAACCUUCGGGAGGGCGCUUACCACUUUGUGAUUCAUGACUGGGGUGAAGUCGUAACAAGGUAACCGUAGGGGAACCUGCGGUUGGAUCACCUCCUUACCUUAAAGAAGC
rnacentral:rRNA from 1 species